rnacentral:rRNA from 1 species
AGAGUUUGAUCCUGGCUCAGGAUGAACGCUGGCGGCGUGCCUAAUACAUGCAAGUCGAGCGAAUUGAUUAAGAGCUUGCUCUUAUGAAGUUAGCGGCGGACGGGUGAGUAACACGUGGGUAACCUGCCCAUAAGACUGGGAUAACUCCGGGAAACCGGGGCUAAUACCGGAUAAUAUUUUGAACUGCAUGGUUCGAAAUUAAAAGGCGGCUUCGGCUGUCACUUAUGGAUGGACCCGCGUCGCAUUAGCUAGUUGGUGAGGUAACGGCUCACCAAGGCAACGAUGCGUAGCCGACCUGAGAGGGUGAUCGGCCACACUGGGACUGAGACACGGCCCAGACUCCUACGGGAGGCAGCAGUAGGGAAUCUUCCGCAAUGGACGAAAGUCUGACGGAGCAACGCCGCGUGAGUGAUGAAGGCUUUCGGGUCGUAAAACUCUGUUGUUAGGGAAGAACAAGUGCUAGUUGAAUAAGCUGGCACCUUGACGGUACCUAACCAGAAAGCCACGGCUAACUACGUGCCAGCAGCCGCGGUAAUACGUAGGUGGCAAGCGUUAUCCGGAAUUAUUGGGCGUAAAGCGCGCGCAGGUGGUUUCUUAAGUCUGAUGUGAAAGCCCACGGCUCAACCGUGGAGGGUCAUUGGAAACUGGGAGACUUGAGUGCAGAAGAGGAAAGUGGAAUUCCAUGUGUAGCGGUGAAAUGCGUAGAGAUAUGGAGGAACACCAGUGGCGAAGGCGACUUUCUGGUCUGUAACUGACACUGAGGCGCGAAAGCGUGGGGAGCAAACAGGAUUAGAUACCCU